ensembl:misc_RNA
UUGGCAACUCUGGAGAAUGAAGGGCUCUGUUUAACCACAGAACAGAUGCCGCAGAAGCAGCAGCUGUGCCAGCUUCCCAACACUGCUCUGCCAAUGUGCUUCAAGCCAGACCUAGAUUAGACAACCCUUUCUAGUUCAGUCUCUGGGAUAUUUUCUGCUGGCAUAA